CCCCUCUCAGGUUCACACCUGGAGAGUUUCCAGUACUCUACCAAUCUCGGCUAUGUGAGGGACAGUCCAGCAUAGGUACUCAUUCCAUUCCUAGCUUGGGCAGUGGCUAGCUAGUGGAAGGCAAUCUGCUACAAGC